GCCAGAGGACUCCAUUUGCUUUACCUGAAGAACUGCUGCCAAACACCAACAAUGGAGCCUUACUCCUCAAGGCUCAACCCUUCACCUAUUGAGAAGAUCUAAAGACAUCCAACAUGAGUAUGUCACUGAACUUGAGGGGAAUUUUUCACAGCAGCACUCAUAAUGACAAAGAAACAGAGGAACUCCAAUGUUCACAAAGUGCAGUGGACUGCAGAUAUCUCAUGUGAAGGCACAGGAUGACCAAUCCUUCCCUGACAUCUCCCAUAGAUGGUUGAAUCUUCCAGCGUCUUUCUGCAGCCCAAAUGACAGAACAUUUGAGGCAUCCAAAUGAGAGAUCUCACGGAGUCUCCAUCCAUCUCUAAUGCACAACAGAGCCACAGUCUGCAGGGAGAUGCUCUCUAACCCUCCUGGAAGUGGCUGUAGAACCAAGGCAUUCCUCUGCUUUUCAAAUGCUUCCUAGUCUCCUUGUGCCAACACAUAAUUUUCUUCUUUGGAAAGAUAUGAAGAUAUCUUCAGUUAUCACCUAAUUCUUCAUAAUAGUGAACAUGUAGCCAUUUAUUAACAGGUUAUAAUUUAAUCCCAAUUGUGAACUGGAUCACUGAAAUGUAAAGGAGCCUUUCAGUGAAUUUUUUUAUAGGUUUGAUUGUAGAAAAAAAAGAAUGGGUUCAUUUGCUAGUUUCCAGAAUGAUUCUUGACAUCUAUAAAGUCAGAUUGGAGACCUGAGACCUGUCCAGGUACACACAUAAUACUUACAGAUGAGGAAUCUACCAGAGAAGCAAGCAGAACUCUGUAGCCAUGGCAUCAUAGGGCAGUAGGGAGUUGUUUCAUCCACAUCUUGGGUUUAAAGCAGAAUCAACUACACCUGUGUUUUUUCUGACAGGAAUUUCACUAUUUUUCUUAAGACUUAAACUUUUGUAAUUAUGAAGUGACCCAAAUUAAAUUUAUUUUAUGAUCAUUCAAUCCUCCUCCUUUGUAAACACCAAAGUAGAGUCACCACAGAUAAUAUUUGUGUUGGCCCAUUCCAUGGGCAACUUGUCUGUAAUAUGUUCAGUUGGGUACUGAAAUACAGGAAAAGAGAACCAAAAAAUAGACACCCUCAAAAUCAAAAUUAUUCUUCUGGACCUUUCCUUGUCUUUAUGUGCGGGUACAUGGUUGUUAAUUUGCUGUGAAAGUUCAUAUAUUCCUUACAGAAAUCUGAAUUUUAUAUAGCUGUUUUAUAUAUUGCUCAUUGUACAUUUGUGUCCCUCUUACUUUGCAACUUGCUUAGAUAUAUGUUCGGGAAUGCUUUCUAGGAAGUGACACAUUGUUUUAAACUAAAUUAUAAACAUCACAAUGUUAUUCCUUGCUAAAAAUAAAUUCUUGGGAAUGUCCAAAUUAUUAUAAAUGUUCCAAGAAAGGUCAUUAUUUCCAGGUUUUGUGUAAGUUUAAUAAGUUCUGGAGGCAUUACUAGAGUGCACCAUCUUCAUAAUUCUAUAUCACCUUCUCUUUUUCUGAGACCUUGACUAUUGUUUUUCUGCUGGACAUAUGUGAUAACAAAGUGGUGCUUGAAUAGAAGCAGGAUUUCAUAAGGUUACCAGAAAAUGUAUGAAUAAGGUUACCAGACAAUGCAUCAAUAAAAUAAUAGUAAGAUAAUAUCAUAUUUAAUUUUCUUCAGUUGAUCCUUACACACAUUUUCAAAGCACACAGAGUAUAAAACAAGACAUUGUAAGGCUCAGCCAGUUUAAAAAUAAAUCUUGGGCAACAAACAAAAGAUCUUGGCAAAAUACAGCUGCUGGAAUCAUCAUACUAUACAGCAGAGUUCAAUUAUCUCUUUUCAGGAAGCAUACCACAACGAUGUACAAGAGACUGUACCAGCAAAAGAGUGGCAUGAAAAAAAAAUCCAGGAAUCCCUUUUUCUUUUCUGAAAUCAGUGGAACAUCAAAUACGAAAGUGAGCUUCAUAGAGAGAAAUGCACUUUGCCUAAAGGAAUAUUUCUAUGAAGCACCCUGAUUUGAUACAGGAGUGUUUAAGUAACUUCUUUAAUAACAAUUAGAGUUUGACUUCUCCUAGGGAAAAAAAUUACUUUCAGCAAAUUAGAAGUGCUCUUUGCUAGAUCCCACUCCACCAAUACAAUUCCAGGCCCUGUUCAAAUUCAAUCUCCCUAUCCAAUUUAUCAGGCCUCCUGCUGUAAGCAACCUUUUUAAAUGCUGAUGGGUCUUUACUGAAACACUUACAUUGCAUGGUCCUUUGCACUGACUGUUCACACAUUUUACCAAAGAGUAACCCACAUCUUCCACAGGAGAGGUGUGCAAGUACGGGACAUCCUGGUCCCAGAGACAGAGACAUGUGGGUAACACACAAUGGUACGGGUAAUUCUGUGGGGAUGACAUGUAACUCUGUAAGCGUGGGUGUAGGUGUGUGCAGGUCUUGGGGUUAAUUGCAGAAAGGUGUUAAGA